rnacentral:tRNA from 1 species
GCCCCCGUAGCUCAGUGGAUAGAGCGUCGGACUUCUAAUCCGUUGGUCGCAGGUUCGAAUCCUGCCGGGGGCGCCC